AUGCAGGGCUUGGACGGUGCAAAGGGAGAAAAAGGUGACAGUGGUGAGAAGGGGGACCACGGCGACCCUGGACCUGCUGUGAGUCGUUUCCUGUGUCUCAUUUCUGGCCAUCGCCAGAAAACCUGCCUUACAGCAACCAUCCCAACACCUUGUUCCUUUUUUCCUGAAGGGUCUCCCUGGUGCUCCUGGGCUCAUCGGUUUACCCGGCACCAAAGGAGAGAAGGGAAAGCCGGGGGAGCCAGGAUUGGAUGGUUUCCCAGGUCUCAGAGGAGAGAAAGGAGAGAGAAGCGAAAGGGGCGAGAAGGGCGAGCGAGGAAUACCAGGGAGAAAAGGAGCCAAAGGGCAGAAGGGGGAACCGGGCCCUCCUGGACUGGAUCAGCCUUGUCCCGUGGGACCAGACGGACUGCCAGUAGCAGGAUGUUGGCAUAAGUGAUGUCUAAGCAUGAAGCACAAUGUGUAAAUAAUGUGAUAUAUUUGGAUCUUUUUAAUUUUUGUAUAAAAAAAGGAAAAAAAAAAACUUUCAACAGUAAUAUAUUGACCUUUUUUUAUACUGGAUUCUGUCAUUUAUGGACUUUGAAAAUAUUGUAAAGCUCCCAAACCCGUAAGAUACGCAUGGUAACAUCAGGAUUUGAUAAAGGUACCACUGAGAGCAGCUGGGAAUGAACAGUAUUUGCUGCUGCUGUUGCUGUGUGAACGAACAGCACUGGGACAGGGUGUUGCCUGGUUGUGCCGCGUGGCAUGAAGGAGGGAGAAAUCAAUCCCCAUCCCCGUUUGGCUCUCACCUCUGUACUUGCAUUGCACGUGCACGUUAAAAGGGUGAAAAAACCUGGCCGAAAACAAAGAAGAAAAAAAGGCUGCAGCCCUAGGAAGGAGAGAAGCUGCUGUGUAACAUCUGGGCAAACAGCAGAAGGACUUGCAACUCGCAGAGGGAAACAAAGCCAAGCUCCGUUCAUCGCUCCCUGCUGUUGAUGGGAUGGAAAGAGCAAUUCUUUGGCGAAACAGAACACCCUCGAGGACUACCUGUGGUUACUUCCACUACUAUCAUGAAAAGCUUUUUUAUUUUUAUUUUUCUUCCCAAGAGGAAGCACCUCUGGGUCCUGCUCUGGGGUCUGUGGCUGAAGAUGUGCAAGCGCUUUGUUGCUGUGGAACCCAAAUUCCCCAAGAAACCUCCACUGCAAAAUUUGAAACACAAAAACCCUAGUAAAUAUUUUCCGUGUAGAGCUGCCGGACAGGGAGGGCUCUGCUGAAGCCUUCUCUUAAACAAAAAAGCACACAAUGUUGCUGGUUGGGGUUCCCAAACCUUGGGAGUUUGGAGUAUUUAAUUGUCUUGGUUUGUAGGCUUCAUUUGCGUUUGAUUUUUCUUGGUUUACGUGGGUUUUAACUGUAAACUCUGUAACUCUGCACACUCCUCUUGUCCUCUUCCUUCUCUU
rnacentral:lncRNA from 1 species